UGGGGAAUAUUGGGCAAUGGGGGGAACCCUGACCCAGCGACGCCGCGUGGGUGAAGAAAUCCCUCGGGAUGUAAAGCCCUGUUGUAUGGGAAGAGCGGAAGACGGUACCAUACGAGGAAGCCCCGGCAAACUACGUGCCAGCAGCCGCGGUAAUACGAAGGGGGCAAGCGUUGUCCGGAAUUACUGGGCGUAAAGCGCACGCAGGCUGAAUUAUAAGUCGGUAGUAAAAGGCGGGGGCUCAACUUCCGUAUAUCUAUCGAUACUGUAAGGCUAGAGUAUGUGAGAGGGAAGCGGAAUGCCCGGUGUAGCGGUGAAAUGCGUAGAUAUCGGGAGGAACACCAGUGGCGAAGGCGGCUUCCUGGCACAAUACUGACGCUCAUGUGCGAAAGCUAGGGCAGCGAACG
rnacentral:rRNA from 1 species